rnacentral:rRNA from 1 species
CAGUCGCCACGGGAAUACGAAGGGGGCUAGCGUUGUUCGGAUUUACUGGGCGUAAAGCGCACGUAGGCGGAUCGAUCAGUCAGGGGUGAAAUCCCAGAGCUCAACUCUGGAACUGCCUUUGAUACUGUCGAUCUGGAGUAUGGAAGAGGUGAGUGGAAUUCCGAGUGUAGAGGUGAAAUUCGUAGAUAUUCGGAGGAACACCAGUGGCGAAGGCGGCUCACUGGUCCAUUAUUGACGCUGAGGUGCGAAAGCGUGGGGAGCGAACAGGAUUAGAUACCCCAGUAGUCCCUGUCUCUUAUAC